GCUCGUAAGGAGCCGCCGGAGGAGGCUCGCGGCCCCUUUUCUCCAGCCUGUCCCGUGAAGGCCGGACCAGCCACACCCAGGGCAUAGAGACGCUAUUAUUUUGUCUCCUGGAAAUGAAUCACCCUCGGCCAGCUUGGCUCUGAAUCCCGUCCGCUCGCCGGGGUUUCCUUGCAGAGAGGAAGGCGAGAGGACAGCUGAGCGGGGAAGCGGCACCAUGGCUGGGAUUGCCGCUAAAUUAGCAAAGGACAGGCAGAUCGCGCAAGGGCUCGGCUCCAACUCCAAAGCCGUGAAAUACUUGAACCAGGACUUUCACACUCUGAGGAACGAGUGUCUCGAGGCGGGCAAGCUCUUUCAAGACCCCUGUUUCCCCGCCGCGGCGGGUUCUCUGGGCUAUAAAGAACUAGGGCCAAACUCGUACAAAACAAAAGGCAUCGUCUGGAAGAGGCCGACGGAAUUGUGUUCCAAACCUCAUUUUAUUAUUGGAGGUGCCACCCGGACUGAUAUCUGCCAAGGGGCUUUAGGAGACUGUUGGCUUCUAGCAGCAAUUGCUUCUCUCACCUUGAAUGAAGAAAUUUUGGCUCGGGUGGUUCCCAGUAAUCAAAGUUUCCAAGACAAAUAUGCAGGAAUCUUCCACUUCCAGUUCUGGCAGUAUGGAGAGUGGACAGAUGUUGUUGUUGAUGAUCGAUUGCCGACCAAAAAUGGAGAACUACUUUUUGUUCACUCAGCAGAGAGAAAUGAAUUCUGGAGUGCUCUACUGGAGAAAGCCUAUGCCAAGGUGAAUGGUUCCUAUGAAGGUCUUUCAGGGGGAAGCACUACUGAGGGCUUUGAAGACUUCACUGGUGGAAUUGCAGAGUGGUAUGAGUUGCAGAAAGCACCACCAAACCUGUUCAAAAUAAUCCAGAAAGCUCUUCAGAAAGGUUCUCUCCUUGGGUGUUCUAUUGAUAUCACAAAUGCUGCCGAAACUGAGGCAGUUACAACCCAGAAGCUGGUGAAAGGGCAUGCGUACUCUGUCACAGGAGCUGAAGAGGUGAAUUUCCGAGGCAGCAUGCAGAAACUGAUCCGGAUCCGAAAUCCCUGGGGAGAAGUUGAAUGGACCGGAAAAUGGAAUGAUAAGUGUCCAAACUGGAAUGGUAUUGAUCCAAAAGUGAGAGAGAGACUGACCAGGCAGCAUGAAGAUGGAGAGUUUUGGAUGUCAUUGAGUGAUUUCCUGAGGCAUUACUCUCGUCUUGAGAUCUGUAAUUUGACUCCAGACACUCUAACUACUGACAUGUAUAAAAAAUGGAGGUUGAACUUGAUGGAUGGAAACUGGAGAAAAGGUUCCACGGCUGGUGGAUGCCGAAAUUAUCCUGAUACGUUUUGGAUGAACCCACAAUAUUUGAUUAAACUUAAGGAAGAAGAUGAGGAUCCAGAUGACCCAGAAAGAGGUUGUACCUUCUUGGUUGGUUUGAUUCAGAAACACCGUCGGAAGCAGAGGAAGAUGGGAGAGGAUAUGCACACAAUUGGCUUUGCAAUCUAUGAGGUGCCUGAACAGUCUUCUGGCCCAAAAAAGGUCCACCUGAGCAAAAACUACUUUCUCACAAACCGAGCAAGGGAACGAUCCAACACAUUCAUCAAUCUUCGGGAGGUGUUAAAUCGAUUCAAGCUUCCCCCAGGAGAAUAUAUUAUUGUGCCAUCCACCUUUGAACCCAACAAGAAUGGGGACUUCUGCCUCAGGGUUUUCUCUGAAAAAAAAGCUGACUCACAAGUUAUUGAUGAUGAAAUUGAGGCCAAUAUUGAAGAGAAAGAACUCACUGAAGAUGAAAUUGAACCCAAUUUUAAGAAAUUAUUUAAGCAAUUAGCUGGAGAGGAUGCUGAGAUCUCAGCCUUUGAACUGUGUAAUAUUCUGAAAAAAAUCUUAGCAAAACGUCAAGAUAUUAAAUCUGAUGGCUUUAGUAUGGAAACUUGCAAAAUUAUGGUUGAUUUAUUAGAUGUAUCCUUCAGUUGUAUAUUUUCUGUUUAAGGCUCUAGUAGGGAAAAGUGGGGGCAGCAGAAUUAUGGAUGGUCAUUAAAACAGAAUGAGGAAGAUGAACUUGAUGUAUGCUGCAACUCAUCCCUUGGAUAAAUGGACGGAAACAUGCUGAUCGUAGUUUCUUUAUUUUACCAGAUAGUGUUUGUCUGAGAAAGGCAUACCCAGUAGGAGAUAUUCCAUGUUGAACUGCCAAGAUUCAGUUCAGAUUGUGGUGGGAUGUAAAUGUAAUAAAUAUUUAAAUUGAAUGGUGACAUAUCUAUAGCUAGCAUGUGCAUUAAAAAUAUGUUUGAUAGCAACGAUAGAAGAUCUUAGGCUACCAAAUUAUCCAAAUGAUAGUGCUAAGCUAUAUGUAACAUGAGUAUGAUCCUAAUUCCUUCUUUGUAUAUUCAUAAACAAAGAAGGAUGCAGCUAGUUAUUAUACCUCUGCCUUUAUUCACAUGUGCAAAGAAUAUUUUUGCCUAUACCACAUAUAAAGCUUAAAUCAGGCAAACCCUACCUGAGCUGAAAAAUUGUCAUUAGUUGGCAGUAACAAAAUAUAGAAAAUGGUAACAUGCCACCAUCUGCUAGUGGACUGGACUUUAGAAGCCCAAAUUUGGCAUGCCUAAUAACAUCAAAGUUCUUUCUGGAGUUCCAUUGUAUUGUUCUCCCACACAACCCAUCCUGCAGAGUUUCUGUGCUAUAGUUCUACCUCAGCUACCCAAGAUCUUCUGCCUCUAAUGCAGAAUGUCACUUGCUUCAUGACAUGUUUGGAACAUCUUCCUGAAACAAAUGUAUAAGCCUUCUUAACUCCCAGGCUUAUAUAUCAAGUUAGGAAAAGCUGACUUAAUUUUUCUUUUCCAAGCAUAAAUUCAUAUGGCUCCUUUUUUUUUGCAUUCUUACUCUACUAUAAUUGUCUUUUCCCCUCCUCGUCCUUCUCCAAUAUCAAAUGUUUGAUUAAUGUUCCUUGAAGAAGGAUUUUUUUUAACCAUUGACAUUUUGUAACUGAGUAUGAAUAUAUAUGGUAUUAGAUAAACAUGCAAUGAAACAAUAAUAUAAGAUAAAACAGAUCAACUACUACAUUAUAUAGGUAGUUUAUGACUUACAACUGAUUGCUUAACAAUUGUUUGAAGUUACAAUGGAUCUGUCCAGAGCUACUUAGAAAACUCUGUUUUCAGACUUAUAACAUUUGCCCCCCCCCCCCCAGCCAUACAAUUGCAUUUUGGGCCCUUGGCAGUUAGGUCCCCAGCAAACGUCCGUUUGUAGCGUCUUGUAGUAAUAUGACUGUAAUUUUCAAUUUUUGCUGGUUUCUAGGCAUUUACUUAUAGUUUCUGGUAAAAAAAUACUAGUUGGAGAAAAUGGAUUUGCUUAAUGACCACCGUAAAAAAAUAAUUGUAACUUCGAAUCUGAUGUCUUGAUGCAAAAAUAAAAAUACAAAAAUACCAAUGCAUAAAUACAAAGAACACCCCAACUAUUGGUGCACAUUUGAUACAUCCAUAUCCACUUUGUACCCUCUACUCCUACCUCCUCCAAAGAUGCCCACCCCUGAAAUAUAGGAAGUAACAAAAUGGUUACAUAUAAAGAACAGGUGUCUAUCACAUGCCUAAGAAUAGGUUUCUUUCUACAAAAGUAGCAAGUGUUUAGUAGAAGGUAGUAAAUUAGUAGGAACUAAGAUUCUACCCUGUAGACUGAUGUGGGAGAAAUGUAGCCAAAGAAAACUCCGAACAGUGAAAGAAAUUUGGAUUAUUUUUUUCUGUUUAAAUUGGAAGUUUCUUUAACCAAGCAGACUGAUGGAAGUGGUAAGCUAGGGCUGAAAGAAUUCCACAUACUUUGGACAAAGAUUCAGAAAUACCAGCAAAUUUAUCGGGAUAUGGAUGUAGAUCGUUCUGGCACCAUGAACUCCUAUGAGAUGCGGAAAGCCUUG